rnacentral:rRNA from 1 species
GACAGAGGCCUCGAGCGUUAAUCGGAAUUACUGGGCGUAAAGCGUGCGCAGGCGGUGAUGUAAGACAGUUGUGAAAUCCCCGGGCUCAACCUGGGAACUGCAUCUGUGACUGCAUUGCUGGAGUGCGGCAGAGGGGGAUGGAAUUCCGCGUGUAGCAGUGAAAUGCGUAGAUAUCUGGAGGAACACCGGUGGCGAAGGCGGCAUCCUGGACCGGCAUUGACGCUGAGGCGCGAAAGCCAGGGGAGCAAACGGG